UUUCUGUGCGAUGGCUCCAUACAUAA
rnacentral:piRNA from 2 species